rnacentral:rRNA from 1 species
GACGAACGCUGGCGGCGUGCUUAACACAUGCAAGUCGAACGGAAAGGCCCGGCUUUUGUGGGGUGCUCGAGUGGCGAACGGGGGAGUAACACGUGAGUAACCUGCCCUUGACUUUGGGAGAACUUCAGGGGACUGGGGCGAAUACCGGAGAGGAGCUCCUGAUGCAUGGGGGGGGUUGGAGAGUUUCGGCGGUUGGGGAUGGACUCGCGGGUUAUCAGCUUGUUGGGGGGGUAGUGGCUUACCAAGGCUUUGACGGGUAGCCGGCCUGGGAGGGUGACCGGCCACAUUGGGUCUGAGGUACGGCCCAGACUCCUACGGGAGGCAGCAGUGCGGAAUAUUGCACAAUGGGCGGAAGCCUGAUGCAGCAACGCCGCGUGCGGGAUGACGGCCUUCGGGUUGUAAACCGCUUUCGCCUGUGACGAAGCGUGAGUGACGGUAAUGGGUACAGAAGCCCCGGCUAACUACGUG